rnacentral:rRNA from 1 species
GUCUACAGACAUACCACCCUUAACGCGCCCAAUCUCAUCUGAUCUCAGAAGCUAAGCAGGGUCAGGCCUGGUUAGUAGUUGGAUGGGAGAAAGUAGAUAUGGUAUUAUGGGCC